rnacentral:rRNA from 1 species
UCAGACGAUGCGUCAUGCAUAUCAAUAAGCGGAGGAAAAGAAACUAACAAGGAUUCCCCUAGUAACGGCGAGUGAAGCGGGAAGAGCUCAAAUUUGAAAUCUUAAAGGGUUUCCCUUUACGAAUUGUAGUUUAAGGAAGUGUUUUCUGUUGAGGUUUUGGUAAAAGUUCUUUGGAAUAGGACAUCAUAGAGGGUGAGAAUCCCGUAUUUGACCUUUACUUUCAACUUUGUGAUACACUUUCAAAGAGUCGGAUUGUUUGGGAAUGCAGUCCAAAAUGGGUGGUAAAUUUCACCUAAAGCUAAAUAUUGGCGAGAGACCGAUAGCGAACAAGUACCGUGAGGGAAAGAUGAAAAGAACUUUGAAAUGAGAGUUUAACAGUACGUGAAAUUGUCAAAAGGGAAGCGUUUGACACCAGUGUUGUUUUUCUGAAAAUCAAUUAAAGAACUGUUUAUGCUAAGCUUGUUUAGACUUUAUCAGCUAUCUGUUUAGUUUUGAGCUUUUCUUUAAUGCACUUUUCAGUUAACAAGUCAACAUCAAUUUCUUUUGCUGUAAAAAAGCUUGAGGAAGGUGGCUUGAGAUUCGUCUUAAGUGUUUAUAGCCUCUUGCCUAUGCAGUCGGAGAGAUUGAGGUCUGCAGCGUAGAUCCUUCGGGGCUAAAUGCAUUUGUGCUAAGUUAUAGCAUUUUAUAGACAACUUGUUGACUAUGAUUUGUCUUGUAGCUUACUCGCUUAUGUUAUUUUACCUACGCUUAGGAUGUUGAGCGCAUGUCUCUCUCU